rnacentral:lncRNA from 1 species
UCAAACUGACACAAGAAGUACCAGAGAAACAAAAGAAAAAACAAUUAUGCACAAAGAAAAAAAAAACUAUGAAGAAACGCAAUAACCCAAUUAGGAAACACUCAAACAAACAACAAUCUCCAUAAAAUAACCCACUCUACGAAUCUCUAUCCAACAGAAAACCCAAUAGAUUUUAGUCCACCAAAUCCACCAAUAUGAGAAUAAAGAAACAACAAGCAAAA